rnacentral:rRNA from 1 species
ACGGGGCCCGCACAAGCGGUGGAGUAUGUGGUUUAAUUCGAUGCAACGCGAAAAACCUUACCUGCCCUUGACAUCCUCGGAACUUGUCAGAGAUGACUUGGUGCCUUCGGGAACCGAGAGACAGGUGCUGCAUGGCUGUCGUCAGCUCGUGUCGUGAGAUGUUGGGUUAAGUCCCGCAACGAGCGCAACCCUCGUCCUAUGUUGCCAGCGGGUCAUGCCGGGGACUCAUGGGAGACUGCCGGGGUCAACUCGGAGGAAGGUGGGAUGACGUCAAAUCAUCAUGCCCCUUAUGUCUUGGGCUUCACGCAUGCUACAAUGGCCGGUACAAAGGGCUGCGAUACCGCGAGGUGGAGCGAAUCCCAGAAAGCCGGUCUCAGUUCGGAUUGGGGUCUGCAACUCGACCCCAUGAAGUCGGAGUCGCUAGUAAUCGCAGAUCAGCAACGCUGCGGUGAAUACGUUCCCGGGCCUU